CUGAGGUUUCCCUUGACAGAGGGAAAUGCAAUGAUUUUCUCAGUGAUCUGAAUCCUCCCACAUUACCAAUAUCUGCUCAAGAAUCACUAGAUGCACAAGAGCUCUCUCUACAAUUUUUUUUUUUUUUUUUUUUUUAAUCAGUCAGAAAAUUAAGAAGGACAUACAGAGGUGGGACAACUUAAGAAUGUCAAUGCAAGCUAGAAUCAGUACAGGGCCAUGCAUGUCUGGGUGGACACCCACUCCAAAGUACCCUGGAGGAGUAUUGAGUCUGACCAUGUUCUCCCCCAUAGGCUUCAAGAUCUGCCUUUUAGUGGUGUAGGCUCAAGAAACUUACACCAGAAGUGGAACCGGAAACAUUAUUUUAACUACUUUAAAAGCCUGGUUUAAUGCAGAAAAUAUUACAGGUCACAUUUAAAAAAUCUCAUGUCAGUCUCUUCUCUGGAACAAUACCCACCUGUUAUCUGGUAAUCAACUUUUCAGUUACCCUCCCUGGUCCUUAAAAGGUGUGCUCACAUUUGGUGAUAUAUUUAAUUGACUGUGGACUGCCCACUGUUCAAGAUAUUCAAGCAGAUGACUCCUUGCCAGGUACCUCCUUUUUAUGUAUCUGAAAUUAAGGUGCCCUGGAAUUCUAGCUUAGAUGAUCACCCAUUGUUAAAGUGGAUCAAAAACACUGGACACUGUCAGGGCACAGUCUCCCUGAUCUAUAAGCAACUACUUGAAUGCUCAUAUAAGUCCUUGAAGAUACUAGCGGUGUUGGAGAGAGAACUCUCCUGACACCACGGGACUGAGCUGGAGGCAGGCAAUUUUCUUGUGUCUGGAGAGCAUCCGGCCCCAAUACAGAAAUCAAGCAGACCCAGAGCCCAGCCAACCAUCACUCUGCUACAUGAAGCAUUUGCUUGAGCCCACUGCAGACAGAGAGCCAAAGCUCUGUUAGUACGGACAUUCUGUUUGUUCUGUUGUCACCGUCUUGUUAGUUAUCAUGGUUUUUGAUUUGACUUCCUUAUUCUGUUCACCUGUCUCGUUUAUCAUCAUUAUUUGCCUGUGUGCUUAGGUGCUGUCUGUUCAAUCUGAGUUGGUCAGGUAUUAUAAACGUCAAUGUGGACGUGUGUUGCCAGCCUUCCUCGUGUG
ensembl:lncRNA